rnacentral:rRNA from 1 species
GACGAACGCUGGCGGCGUGCCUAAUACAUGCAAGUUGAGCGCUGAAGGUUGGUACUUGUACCCACUGGAUUAGCAGCGGACGGGUGAGUAACGCGUGGGUCAUCUGCCUUUGAGCGGGGGACAACAUUUGGAAACGAAUGCUAAUACCGCAUAAAAACUUUAAACACAAGUUUUAAGUUUGAAAGAUGCAAUUGCAUCACUCAAAGAUGAUCCCGCGUUGUAUUAGCUAGUUGGUGAGGUAAAGGCUCACCAAGGCGAUGAUACAUAGCCGACCUGAGAGGGUGAACGGCCAAAUUGGGACUGGGACACGGCCCAAACUCCUACGGGAGGCAGCAGUAGGGAAUCUUCGGAAAUGGACGAAAGUCUGACCGAGCAACGCCGGGUGAGUGAAGAAGGUUUUCGGAUCGUAAAACUCUGUUGGUAGAGAAGAACGUUGGUGAGAGUGGAAAGCUCAUCAAGUGACGGUAACUACCCAGAAAGGGACGGCUAACUACGUG